CUCAUUCAAUGUCUGGAGCAAGCUUUCUGCACUCCACUGCCGGUGCUUUCUGGCUUCAAAAGCAGCUUCGAGACUGAGGAAUAGUAGACAGGAUUAGAAUAAGGCCCGGGAGUUCUACAACUCUGCUGAAUUCAAAAGGACCAUGAUCUUGGUCAGCUAAACCACACCCGAUGGCCAAGGGGCAGAGGAAAAGAUGGCAGAGUAGAGACUCUUGGACUUACUCAUUUGGAUUUUGGAGUUUUACCUGACUUGGUCAAGCCUCAUGCCAGAUCCAGUGGUCAAAGGAAGAGGAGGAUCAAUGGCCUUUUUUCCUCCCCCCAACCUUUUUUUUUUUUUUUUUUUUUAAACAAAGAAGCAAAGUGAGAACAUUAAGCCCGAAAGAGAACUGUGUUCAUUGCAGGACUUUUUGAGGUCUGGUUAAGCCAUUUAUAUAAAGAAAUUACACAGUUCCUCUUUGGUAACCUCAAUCCUGAAAGUUAGUGUGACAGGCCUACAGCUUUUUGUUC
rnacentral:lncRNA from 1 species